CCUACGGGAUGCUGCAGUGAGGAAUAUUGGUCAAUGGCCGGAAGGCUGAACCAGCCAUGCCGCGUGAAGGUCAGUGCCCUAUGGGCGUUAAACUUCUUUUGUGCGGGAGCAAUAAUGGUCACGUGUGGCCAGACGAGAGUACCGUACGAAUAAGCAUCGGCUAACUCCGUGCCAGCAGCCGCGGUAAUACGUAGGGAGCGAGCGUUAUCCGGAUUUACUGGGUGUAAAGGGCGUGUAGGCGGGAUGGCAAGUCAGGCGUGAAAACUAUGGGCUCAACCCAUAGCCUGCGUUUGAAACUGUCGUUCUUGAGUGAUGGAGAGGCAAGCGGAAUUCCGGGUGUAGCGGUGAAAUGCGUAGAUAUACGGAGGAACACCAGUGGCGAAGGCGGCUUGCUGGACAUUAACUGACGCUGAGGCGCGAAAGCGUGGGGAGCAAACAGGAUUAGAUACCCUGGUAGUC
rnacentral:rRNA from 1 species